rnacentral:rRNA from 1 species
UACGGAGGGUGCGAGCGUUGUCCGGAAUCACUGGGCGUAAAGGGCGCGUAGGCGGCGCGGGGAGUCAACGGUGAAAGCUCGGCGCUCAACGCCGAGUCGGCCGUCGAUACUCCCGUGCUUGAGCACUGUAGAGGCAGGUGGAAUUCCGGGUGUAGCGGUGGAAUGCGUAGAGAUCCGGAAGAACACCGGUGGCGAAGGCGGCCUGCUGGGCAGUAGCUGACGCUGAGGCGCGACAGCUAGGGGAGCAAACAGG